CAUGUAUUUCCUAUUCUGUCUGGUUGGCUUGCUGCUAAAAACUCAGAAUAGAGAAGAGAAGACAGUCUUGCGGAGGGUCAAAGGAGCCACCGUUGGUAGUUAUUUGGGAUCUUUGAGGAAACCCCUGCUAAAAUAACUUGAUUGGAGAUUUUCCUUAGUCUGGACCAAACCUUCCCAUUAUUGGACACAGAUGGUCAGCUAGUAAUCAAUCAUCUAUAAUUAUGCUUUGGAAAAACCUCAUGAGCAAAGACCCUCAACUUGUAGUCAAAGCUACAAUUUGACAUUUCCCAGGAUUGGACGAGGCUGGUAAGGUGAAAGAGUAGAGGCCUGAAGAUUCCAGAGAGCUAGUGACAACAUCACUGAAGUGGUUGAGAUCCACAGUGUGUCAGGAGGUGUUUCUAGAGAGGUACAGUAGAUGGGAAAUGAGAGGACAAGAAUUCAGUAAGCUCCUUAACCUCCUGCCUCAUUUAUCAAAUGGGUCUGAUGAAAGUGAUAUAUGUGAAAGCACCUGGCAUAAUAUUGGUCAGAUUGUGGUGCUUGAUGAUAGAAUGGUGCAUAAAUAAAUAAACAGAGGCUCUCAAUCAA